GAUGAAGAACGCAGCGAAAUGCGAUAAGUAAUGUGAAUUGCAGAAUUCAGUGAAUCAUCGAAUCUUUGAACGCACAUUGCGCCCGCCAGUAUUCUGGCGGGCAUGCCUGUUCGAGCGUCAUUUCAACCAUCAAGCCCCCGGCUUGUGUUGGGGACCUGCGGCUGCCGCAGGCCCUGAAAAGCAGUGGCGGGCUCGCUGUCACACCGAGCGUAGUAGCAUACAUCUCGCUCUGGGCGUGCUGCGCGUUCCGGCCGUUAAACCACCUUCAUAACCCAAGGUUGACCUCGGAUCAGGUAGGAAGACCCGCUGAACUUAAGCAUAUCAAUAAGCGGAGGA
rnacentral:misc_RNA from 1 species